UACGGAGGGAGCUAGCGUUAUUCGGAAUUACUGGGCGUAAAGCGCACGUAGGCGGCUUUGUAAGUCAGAGGUGAAAGCCUGGAGCUCAACUCCAGAACUGCCUUUGAGACUGCAUCGCUUGAAUCCAGGAGAGGUGAGUGGAAUUCCGAGUGUAGAGGUGAAAUUCGUAGAUAUUCGGAAGAACACCAGUGGCGAAGGCGGCUCACUGGACUGGUAUUGACGCGUGAGGUGCGAAAGCGUGGGGAGCAAACAGG
rnacentral:rRNA from 1 species